CCAGAUGAUCUAGGAGGUCUUUUCUAACCCUAAUGGAUCUGUGAUUCUAUGAUUCCUGUGUCAGCUGUAGCAACUUCGUCUGCUUCCUGGAAAGCCAGAGCGUCUGUCGCUGUUUGUGCCCCACUUGAUCUGUUUGUCACUGCCCUCCCUGCUCCCCUUCAGCACAGAUCUGGACUCGGCUCUGUGGGGUUUGUUCUCUGUGAGCUUAGUUUUUUGAGUAGCUGAACAAAACCUUAAAUCACUCCUGUCACUGAAAUCUCAGUUACCUUCUUUUGCUGGUUCUGCCUUUAUCCUGACUGCAGCAGCAGCAAGAACAGGCACUGAAUGGGGAACCACCAGGGUAAGACUGGUUAUAUCAAAGCAAAAAGGAGAUCUACCACUAACAAUGGACCAAAUCUGCUGCAGGGAAUUGGGCAAGUGGAAAAAAAAUAAAUCCUGCUGUAUUUAACUUGUGGGAUGAGAAAGGACAAACUGACUUGCACGUAAUCAUCUGGAAUAAUAUGCAUUUAAAAUGGUGACUUUCUUGUGAAUUUUCAAAUGUGUUUUUCCCCAUUCCAGAGACAGAAGCUUUUCCAAAAGCUGUUUGGGACAACAAUUGUUACCCAAAGUUGUACUUGGCUGUCUGCAGACAGCUGAUGUUUAAAUUACGCAGGUUUCAGAAUAGAUUACCUGUGCUGUUAGCUUUUAAAAAGGUAUUUAAAUGCAUCCUUUACAAUAGCGGCACAAAAGCUUGAGUGUUCCUUUCUUGCUAUUUGGAUUUCACACAGUGACGGUGAUGUGGCAGUGAUGGUGUGUGCCUCCCAGAGCGACAGUGGAGCUAGUUGAAUGGCGUACAGGCAUUUUAAAAGCUCCACUACUGAAUCUACCUCAAGAUCACAGCCUGGUGCUUUUGUCACUGUGGUGGUGAACUGGCUUUUCUUUGGCAGUGCAGAAUAUAGCUCAGCUUCUCAAGGCGUAGCCUGGCCAGUUAGUGGUUGUGUUUGUAACAUCAAAUCAAGUACGAGGUGAAGAGUCUGGCCCGCCAAAUUUGCUGCUGUUCCAAUGUACAUAGCCAGGCCCUUGUUUUCCUACAGCACCAUCGUGCCUUGUGGCAGCACUUGGAAAAAAAAAAAAAAAAGAAAAAAAAGAAAAAAGGAGUCUGUCCAGCUUCCCAGUAGAGCUAACACAGCUCUGUGAGUGGCGGAGACAUGGGUGUCCGUAUCGCUGCAGGCUGAGGCCAGGACCAGAGAUGACAUGCCUUAACCUAGAGGUCAGCGAGGCCUCUAGGCUCUGGACAGACAUUUUUGACUUUCUUGCUAGCCUGUGUAACAAUGCUAGCACCAAAUGACUCAGAACAAGUCAGGUGGUCUUUAAUGUGGUGUUAAUUGGGUUGGUAUGAAAGCAACUUUGUUAUUAUGACAGCAUGGCUGAAAACUUUUGACAAAAUUGGGUCUUCCUACAGCAAACAUUUCUUUUGUCACUCAACUCUUCAAUCAAAACAAAGCUUUGGAAGGUUGUUUUAUUGUGUUGUUUUUUUCUUUCUUUUUUCUUUUUUCAUCAAGCUGAAAAUUCUUGUAAAGAAACCAUGAAAAGGACUUUGUUGCUGAAGUUUUUGGUGAGAGCGAAAGCAGUGCUUUCUCCUUAGCUCUGUGAUGAACCCCGAGGUGGUUGGGCAAAGCCCUGUGCCCUGAGCUUCAGGUGCGAGGGUGGAACGGAGGAUCACUGCUGAAGCUACAAGGUGCACCAGAUUUUCUUCUGGAAGGCCAAUUCCUUUCUGACCCUUGGGCUGUUUUCACUCACGUACUUACCAGUUGCAAUGAUUGACUGAGCUCAUGAUUAUUCCAGCAUGAAGACUUAAUGUUUUAUAGUAUUAGUAAGUAGGUGAAUACCCAUAAUAAAUGAAAUCUGUGCUAAAGGAGUGUAUGCUGCAGCACAGACGUUCCCCUUUCUGUUAAUUACCUCUGAUUGUGCUACAAGUGUGGUGUGCGCAGCGGUUUGUUCCUCUUGUAGGCACAGCCUGGGUUCCAGCCUUAGAACACCUUCAUUUCCAUUUCAAGCUUCCUGUAAAUAAGGCAACUGGCACACUUAAAAAAAAAAAUAGCAUGAGAGCCACCCUGCAAAUAUCUAUUUCUUGUUGUCUUGAAAAUGUUCUGGAACGUUCCCUGUAUUGAAGCAAAAUUAUUCCCCAUUUUUUAUUUAAUGAGAAACAGUAACCUGUGUAAAUAAAUACCAGGAGGCUUUAUCUUAUCACAUAGUGUGAUAGCAUGGGAAAGGGAGUUGCAUUUUAAAAGUGGAGAUCCUGGCUUGUUAAUGAGAAUGUGACUGGAGUUAAUAAUUUCUGGCAAGGCAACGUAGCCUCCUUGUAACUCUUAAUUUCUCCCCUCUUGUUUAUCAUCUGGCUGUGAUAAGUUUAUGGGUCUGCUUCAUAACAGCUCAAGAGGUUUAAAGGAGAGUUAAUUUGCACGACUGCUGCAGAAGAUGAAGAAGCCCAGAUGCUUGUUUACCCCAAAUUUCCAAAAAA